rnacentral:rRNA from 1 species
UGCAGUGGGUACGGGCAGACUAGAGUGCGGUAGGGGAGAUUGGAAUUCCUGGUGUAGCGGUGGAAUGCGCAGAUAUCAGGAGGAACACCGAUGGCGAAGGCAGAUCUCUGGGCCGUAACUGACGCUGAGGAGCGAAAGGGUGGGGAGCAAACAGGCUUAGAUACCCUGGUAGUCCACCCCGUAAACGUUGGGAACUAGUUGUGGGGUCCAUUCCACGGAUUCCGUGACGCAGCUAACGCAUUAAGUUCCCCGCCUGGGGAGUACGGCCGCAAGGCUAAAACUCAAAGGAAUUGACGGGGACCCGCACAAGCGGCGGAGCAUGCGGAUUAAUUCGAUGCAACGCGAAGAACCUUACCAAGGCUUGACAUAUAGAGGAAACGUCUGGAAACAGUCGCCCCGCAAGGUCUCUAUACAGGUGGUGCAUGGUUGUCGUCAGCUCGUGUCGUGAGAUGUUGGGUUAAGUCCCGCAACGAGCGCAACCCUCGUUCUAUGUUGCCAGCACGUAAUGGUGGGAACUCAUGGGAUACUGCCGGGGUCAACUCGGAGGAAGGUGGGGAUGACGUCAAAUCAUCAUGCCCCUUAUGUCUUGGGCUUCACGCAUGCUACAAUGGCCGGUACAAAGGGCUGCAAUACCGUGAGGUGGAGCGAAUCCCAAAAAGCCGGUCCCAGUUCGGAUUGAGGUCUGCAACUCGACCUCAUGAAGUCGGAGUCGCUAGUAAUCGCAGAUCAGCAACGCUGCGGUGAAUACGUUCCCGGGUCUUGUACACACCGCCCGUCAAGUCAUGAAAGUCGGUAACACCUGAAGCCGGUGGC